GUGACAGGCGCUUUGCCCCUGCAGGACGUGGAGCUGAAGGUGGAGGCGGCCUGCAGGGACAUGCAGGAGGAGUCCUACUUACCUGGCCACAGAUCCUUCACCUUCUCCAAAGAGCUGCCAUCCUAGCCCGGUGUGCGCCCGCCGCAGCGUGGCAGCGCCAGGGCCCCUCGCCCAGCGGAGACCCAGCGGCCCCGCCAGCCGGUCCGACAACCCCAGCACCGGGCCGGCCUGCCCCCCUGAAUUACCCCCCUGGCACCGCUGCACCGGCUGUUCCUCCCAAUAAAGGCAGAGCUACGCUGCGGAA